UACGCUCACAUCACACUGAAACACCGGCUCCCGUACGAUCACCGAAGUUAAGCAACGUCGAACCUGGUUAGUACCUCGAUGGGUGACCGUUCGGGAAUUGCUG